UGAGUUUGAUUCUGGCUCCGAAUGAACGCUAGGGGUAGGCUUAACACAUGCAAGUCGAACGUGAUCGAAAGAGAAAGUGGCGAAGAGGUGAGUAAAACACAUGAAUUUUAAUAAUAAACCUGAAAAGAAAAAAAGAAGAAAAUACAGGAUAGAAAGAAAGAGGAACUUGAAAAAAAGGAAGCCUCGUUAUUAUAAAAGCGUGUGGCGGAUUAGGUAGUUGGUAGGGUAAAGGCCUACCAAGCCAGAGAUCCGUAGGUGGCUCGAGAGGGUGAACAUCCACAUUGGUAUUGAAAAAAAGACCAAACUCGAAAGAGGCAGCAGUGAGGAAUAUUGGACAAUGAUCGAAAGAUUGAUCCAGCUAUACCCUGUGAGGGAAGAAGUAAAUCGUAAACCUCUUUUAAUAAUGAAGAAAAGGACAAAAAUUAAGGAAUAAGUACCGACUAAUUUCGUGCCAGCAGUCGCGGUAAAACGGAGGGUACAAGCGUUAUUCGUAAGGAUUGGGCGUAAAGGACACGUAGAUGGUUAAGAAAAGGGCUUAUGUAAAAGAUACGGAAAAAAGACGUAAAAGCAUAAAGAACAAAAGAACUAGAGUAAAGAUAGUGUAUUUAGUAGAGCUAAAGUAGAGGUAAAAUUCGAAUCAAUUUAGCUUGACUGACAGUUGGCGAAGGCAAAAUACAAUCGAUACUGACAUUAAAGUGUGAAGGUUUAGGGAGCAAAUGGGAUUAGAGACCCCAGUAGUCUAGACAGUAAACGAUGAGUGUUCAAUAUUUUUAAAAUAAAAGUAUUCGAGUUAACGCGUUAAACACUCCGCCUGAGAAGUAUGGUCGCAAGAUUGAAACUCAAGGAAAUUGACUGAACUUUGCGCAAGCAGUGGAGUAUGCUCAUUAAUUUGAUACAACACGAAAAAUCUUACCCCAGGUUGAAUGAUAAUAAUAAAACAUUAAAAGUAACGGACUGAUGAAAAUGUGAAAUGUAAAAGUUAGUCAAAUCUCUAAGGAUAUAAUGAAAAGGCUACAGCGGUUAAAGCUGUAAAACUGAAGUACUUAUGUAGAAGGAAAUUUGUAAAAGCAAAAGCAAAGGAAAGUAAACAAAUGUGAAAAAUAGAAGUCGAAAAAGUUCUAUUGAAAUAAUUAUCGAACAGGUGUUGCAUGGUUGUCGGAAGCUCGUGCCGUUAGGUGUUAGAUUCAGUUCUGUAACGAGCGAAAUCCUUAUGUUCAAUUACAAUAAAAGAAAAAUGAACAGCUGUGUGUAAAUAAUAUUUACACAGGAAGUUGAGGA
rnacentral:rRNA from 1 species